GGGGGGAGGCGGCGGCGGCGGCGGCGGCACUGGGUCGGGCCGGGCCGGGCCGGGCCGCAGCGGGGCGGUGGCCCCGGGCCGGGCCGCGCCGGGCAGGUGCUGCGCCACUGCCUCGCUCCUGGCUAACCAGCACCAGUUCUUCAGUGGCAAGCUUUAUGUCCUUCUCUAGUAGCUAAAGCUGCCAGUUGAAGAACUGUUGAAUGUAGCCACUCUCGUCUCGUCACCGGGACCCUGGCUGUCAGCCGAACCUGUGCCCUGAGCGACUGGGAUGAGCCGGUCCGCAGCGUCCUGUGGAUUUGAGGGCUGAGGAUGAGCCUGACCAGGAUGAAGAAGUCUCCUCGCAGCCUCCAGACGGAGCCUUGGCUGGGGGAUUGCCGGGCAGCCCUGCCAGCGGGGCUGUCAAGUGGAGUCCCCCACACUGGUGGGGUGGCACUGAGCUGAGAGAUGACUAGAGAAGACCAAAAGAGGCAUUAAACUUUCUGUUUUGCUCAAUA